rnacentral:rRNA from 1 species
GAUGAACGCUGGCGGCGUGCCUAAUACAUGCAAGUCGAGCGAAUGGAUUAAGAGCUUGCUCUUAUGAAGUUAGCGGCGGACGGGUGAGUAACACGUGGGUAACCUGCCCAUAAGACUGGGAUAACUCCGGGAAACCGGGGCUAAUACCGGAUAACAUUUUGAACCGCAUGGUUCGGAAUUGAAAGGCGGCUUCGGCUGUCACUUAUGGAUGGACCCGCGUCGCAUUAGCUAGUUGGUGAGGUAACGGCUCACCAAGGCAACGAUGCGUAGCCGACCUGAGAGGGUGAUCGGCCACACUGGGACUGAGAAACGGCCCAGACUCCUACGGGAGGCAGCAGUAGGGAAUCUUCCGCAAUUGACGAAAGUCUGACGGAGCAACGCCGCGUGAGUGAUGAAGGCUUUCGGGUCGUAAAACUCUGUUGUUAGGGAAGAACAAGUGCUAGUUGAAUAAGCUGGCACCUUGACGGUACCUAACCAGAAAGCCACGGCUAACUACGUGCCAGCAGCCGCAGUAA